GGAGCGUGUAGCUCAGUGGUAGAGUGCACGUUCAGAAUGCGUGAGGUCCUGGGUUCAAUCCCCAGCACCUCCA